rnacentral:rRNA from 1 species
AGAGUUUGAUCCUGGCUCAGGACGAACGCUGGCGGCGUGCCUAACACAUGCAAGUCGAACGGAAGUUAGAGCUUCGGUUUUAACUUUAGUGGCGAACGGGUGAGUAACGCGUGAGGAACCUGCCUUUCAGUGGGGGACAACAGUUGGAAACGACUGCUAAUACCGCAUGACACUUUUGAGGGACAUCCCUUAAAAGUCAAAGCUUUAUGUGCUGAAAGAUGGCCUCGCGUCUGAUUAGCUAGUUGGUGAGGUAACGGCUCACCAAGGCGACGAUCAGUAGCCGGUCUGAGAGGAUGAACGGCCACAUUGGGACUGAGAUACGGCCCAGACUCCUACGGGAGGCAGCAGUGGGGAAUAUUGGGCAAUGGGGGAAACCCUGACCCAGCAACGCCGCGUGAAGGAAGAAGGCCUUCGGGUUGUAAACUUCUUUUACCAGGGACGAAGGACGUGACGGUACCUGGAGAAAAAGCAACGGCUAACUACGUGCCAGCAGCCGCGGUAAUACGUAGGUUGCAAGCGUUGUCCGGAUUUACUGGGUGUAAAGGGCGUGUAGGCGGAGAUGCAAGUUGGGAGUGAAAUCCAUGGGCUCAACCCAUGAACUGCUCUCAAAACUGUAUCCCUUGAGUAUCGGAGAGGCAAGCGGAAUUCCUAGUGUAGCGGUGAAAUGCGUAGAUAUUAGGAGGAACACCAGUGGCGAAGGCGGCUUGCUGGACGACAACUGACGCUGAGGCGCGAAAGCGUGGGGAGCAAACAGGAUUAGAUACCCUGGUAGUCCACGCUGUAAACGAUGAAUACUAGGUGUGGGAGGACUGACCCCUUCCGUGCCGCAGUUAACACAAUAAGUAUUCCACCUGGGGAGUACGACCGCAAGGUUGAAACUCAAAGGAAUUGACGGGGGCCCGCACAAGCAGUGGAUUAUGUGGUUUAAUUCGACGCAACGCGAAGAACCUUACCAGGAUUUGAUAUCCAACUAACGAAGUAGAGAUACAUCAGGUACCCUUCGGGGGAAGUUGAGACAGGUGGUGCAUGGAUGUCGUCAGCUCGUGUCGUGAGAUGUUGGGUUAAGUCCCGCAACGAGCGCAACCCUUAUCCUAAGUAGCCAGCAGUUCGGCCGGGCACUCUUGGGAGACUGCCAGGGAUAACCUGGAGGAAGGUGGGGAUGACGUCAAAUCAUCAUGCCCCUUAUGAUUUGGGCUACACACGUGCUACAAUGGCGUAAACAAAGAGAAGCGAGACCGCGAGGUGGAGCAAAUCUCAAAAAUAACGUCUCAGUUCGGACUGCAGGCUGCAACUCGCCUGCACGAAGCUGGAAUCGCUAGUAAUCGCGAAUCAGAAUGUCGCGGUGAAUACGUUCCCGGGUCUUGUACACACCGCCCGUCACACCAUGGGAGUCAGUAAUGCCCGAAGUCAGUGACCCAACCGAAAGGAGGGAGCUGCCGAAGGCAGGACCGAUAACUGGGGUGAAGUCGUAACAAGGUA